GGAAUAUUGGACAAUGGGGGGAACCCUGAUCCAGCGACGCCGCGUGAGUGAAGAAGUAUUUCGGUAUGUAAAGCUCUAUCAGCAGGGAAGAAAGAAAUGACGGUACCUGACCAAGAAGCCCCGGCUAACUACGUGCCAGCAGCCGCGGUAAUACGUAGGGGGCAAGCGUUAUCCGGAUUCACUGGGUGUAAAGGGAGCGUAGACGGCCAUGCAAGCCUGGAGUGAAAGCCCGGGGCCCAACCCCGGGACUGCUCUGGGAACUGUGCGGCUGGAGUGCGGGAGGGGCAGGCGGAAUUCCUGGUGUAGCGGUGAAAUGCGUAGAGAUCAGGAGGAACACCGGCGGCGAAGGCGGCCUGCUGGACCGCGACUGACGUUGAGGCUCGAAAGCGUGGGGAGCAAAC
rnacentral:rRNA from 1 species